rnacentral:rRNA from 1 species
GACGUAGGGGCGCGAGCGUUUGUCCGGAUUUAUUGGGCGUAAAGAGCUCGUAGGCGGCCACUCAAGUCGAAUGUGAAACCUCGAGGCUUAACCUCGAGCCUGCAUUCGAUACUGGGCGGCUAGAGUCUGGUAGGGGGAUCUGGAAUUCCUGGUGUAGCGGUGGAAUGCGCAGAGUAUCCAGGAGGAACACCGGUGGCGAAGGCGGGAUCCUGGGCCGAUACUGACGCUGAGGAGCGAAAGC